rnacentral:rRNA from 1 species
CCUACGGGAGGCUGCAGUGGGGAAUAUUGGACAAUGGGCGAAAGCCUGAUCCAGCCAUGCCGCGUGUGUGAAGAAGGCCUUCGGGUUGUAAAGCACUUUCAGUGGGGAAGAAAGCCUUGGGGCUAAUACCCUCGAGGAAGGACAUCACCCACAGAAGAAGCACCGGCUAACUACGUGCCAGCAGCCGCGGUAAUACGGAGGGUGCGAGCGUUAAUCGGAAUUACUGGGCGUAAAGCGCGCGUAGGCGGUCUGAUAAGCCGGUUGUGAAAGCCCCGGGCUCAACCUGGGAACGGCAUCCGGAACUGUCAGGCUAGAGUGCAGGAGAGGAGGGUAGAAUUCCCGGUGUAGCGGUGAAAUGCGUAGAGAUCGGGAGGAAUACCAGUGGCGAAGGCGGCCUUCUGGACUAACACUGACGCUGAGGUGCGAAAGCGUGGGUAGCAAACAGGAUUAGAUACCCGUGUAGUC